rnacentral:rRNA from 1 species
CACGUAGGCGGUUCGUUAAGUCGAAUGUGAAAGCCCCCGGCUCAACCGGGGAAUUGCAUCCGAUACUGGCGGGCUAGAGGACGGCAGGGGUAAGUGGAACUCCAGGUGGAACGGUGAAAUGUGUAGAUAUCUGGAGGAACACCGGUGGCGAAAGCGGCUUACUGGGCCGUCUCUGACGCUGAGGUGCGAAAGCUAGGGUAGCGAACAGGAUUAGAUACCCUGGUAGUCC